rnacentral:rRNA from 1 species
UACAUGUGGGGCAAGCGUUGUUCGGAAUUACUGGGCAUAAAGGGUGCGUAGGUGGUUUGGUAAGUCAGUGGUGAAAUCGUCCGGCCCAACCGGACACGUGCCAAUGAUACUGCCGGACUCGAGUGCGUGAGGGGUGGGGGGAACGAGCAGUGUAGCGGUGAAAUGCGUAGAUAUUGCUCGGAAGGCCAAAGCCGAAGGGACCCCACUGGUACGUAACUGACACUGAGGCACGAAAGCGUGGGGAGCAAACAGG